GAGAGUGUAUACGUACGUUAAUUGCAAUGUAAGUUGUGGUACACUUUCGAGUGUUUUAGAGACUGAAACUAGUAUUAGUGGACCUUUAACUACGAACACAAAAUUAGUAUCUCCUGCAUGUACAGAUCUAAUCAUAUCGCUGUCUGCUUGGACGAAUGAAACAAGAGCCUGCAUAACGCCCAUCACUGUGACUAGUUUAUCCUCAGAACUGUAUCUAGAGUAUAUAGGUUUUCCAGCCUGGCUUAAAAUAAAUAUAUGUUUCCUUUGAGCCAGCCAUGUUUUGCAACGUAAGGGAUCGGAAUCUAAACUACUCUGACCUAUUCGAUGGGUGACACCCUCCUGAAACAAAAUGAAGGAAAUACUUGCUUUAAGAAACUCAUCUAAAUAAACUGUAGAGGUAGAAGAGGAAGCAACUCUAGUGAAAACCUACUAAACCCUGAGACAGUGUCGAAAAUAAGAUCCACAGGAUAUUGUACCUUCGAUCAUCCAUUCGCCGGAGGCACCCCAACCAGUGCACACUCCGAAGUAACCGAUUCCGAACGGGUCUGGAUCGGUAUACGUGAGGAAUGCACUCGGUUCGCCUUCCUUGCCCACGGAGAUAGCACCAUCGCCCCAUCUGGAACAAUUAUCGUGUGAGUAAUCAUUCUGGUAACUACCAAGAUCGCUUAAUACUAUCUAGCAUCGAACCGAUCAUCUUCAUUUCCCACGAAAUACAAUUUUUAAACGAAAGCCUGUCUACUUCGACUUCUUAUUACCCUUUUUUUUGCUUAGGCAGUUAUUUAUCGAAUACAUUUCUUCUCUCUGGCUCUUGUAAUUACAUCAUUGUAAUAUUUUCUUCCCAGUCACAUCUAUGGAUACAUACAUAACUUCGUUUCUAUAACAUUUUAUUGCGCGAUCUUGAUCAAUUGGACUUCCGAGAGUCUCGAUUACAGAAAGAUAGUGCCCUGCCUUGGAGACUUGAAUGCGUGGUGAACCACGACCGACCGUUGGAGGCCGACCUUAGAGCAUCCGAACUGUCCACGCCUCUCGCUCUAGAAGCUAUCGAUAUCAAUGUUUAUUAAUGUACGGCUCACCUGAUCCAAAAACCGCGGAAUUCGUCAGGACUUAAUAUACCAGGUGUCUCGGCUUCCGCGGCUUCGGGUUUCGCUCUAUUCUUGCGAAUCACGGAUUUGCCGUUGCUCCAUCCGCCGAUGAAAACCUGAUACGUUAAUAUUACACCAUUGUUAUUGUUGUCGUUGUUAUUAUCAUCGCGUUCUAUUGGAACAUUGUCGUCUUGUUUACCUCGUACAUGGGUUCUCCCUCCUCGGGGCCGGUGGUGAGAGCAACGUGGGCGUCGUUCGCUGCCUUCACCCGGAACUGAACCUGCCCGGUAGCGACGGGGUAGAAUUUGUAUUCCAAUUUGUCCUCGGUGGAGAGUGCUGCCGAUACAAAAUUACAAUGUUAAUCGAUGUCACUGAAUGAAAUUACCGCUCGUUAACAUUUUUACAGCUGGACUUUGACUAUUUCUCCUUGGUCGGUAUAAGUGGUCUUUAACAUUCCGGUCGUUACGACGCCAGCAAAUAAUAGCGGAGGAAGUCAGCUGGGGAAUAUUCAGUCGCUACGAAGAGACUGUGGAGAAUUUGAAGAAAAUUUCAAACGGCAGGGAAGACGAGUCGUCUUUGAAGCGAAUUUUUUACCUGAAAUCCCAUCGAUUUCAAAGGAGAAUUCUGGACACAAAAUAUCCCUGACAGAUGCAAGCCAAACGCCCUAGCUCAAGUUCUCGAUGUCUGAAAAGCUACUUGGAUCGAUCCUCGCGGCCAUGUGUACCUUCAUCAUCGGACUCGAAGCCGAUCGAACGUAGCCGUGUGCUCUGCUAAAGCGAAGUUACGUAACUAUUGCUUUCAAUAUUACAUCAUCACGCUCCAGUCUUUUAUAAUAUUAACAACGACGCUGAAAGUUAAGUACAAGAUUGUAGUGACUGUAACGUCGAACAAUUCGACAAACUCUAAAUUUAUAAACCUUUAUGUAUUCUACGUUCAUUUAUUCCAAUUCUAGUAUUAAUGUAUUUCUCUGCUGGAAAGGGGAUGAAUUUAUUAUCGAUCGCACAACAUCCUACAAGAAAAAGCUUAAGUUUGAAAAAGUCAAGAACGCAUAAAAUCCAUAAUUUGAUUAUGACGAAUGGUUUUCUUCAGCGCAUGCAUUCAGCCAGGGGUGGUAACGACCACCCUUGAGCACAAUAAGGUCAAUUUACCAGGAGAAACGAGCAAACAGGACGAUUUUUAUUCGACAAAAGUGGGGCAACGUUUUUCCAACGAACAUACCAGACGUCUGGACGCCGGUCUGAUGAUACAGCGAACGAAAGUAGGACAAUGCAGGACUCGCAUCGAUCAAUAUCCCGGUGGCCGCAAUAAUUACGCGUCUAGAUCACGUCUCGCGCGAUUAGAAAUCUUCGCCGAUGAUCUCGACACAGUCGAUAAACGUCUGCGAGCCUAACGGACUUGGAGCUCGAAGGACGAGAGAGCCAGGAUGAUGACUUCAUACUCGAUUACCAACACUGCGGACCUUCGUGCAGAAUAAAAGUUAUCCGCGCCUAUUGCGAAACGUGGAAAUAAUAAUUGAGAUGCAAUUUCUUUCCAUUAAUCCAUUCGCUAUUUGCAUUGUUAAAAAGUUUCAAUAAAAGCGAAAUGCGGAUUUUAGAUAUUUA